rnacentral:rRNA from 1 species
GGCGCAAGCCUGAUGGAGCAACACCGCGUGAGUGAAGAAGGGUUUCGGCUCGUAAAGCUCUGUUGUUAAAGAAGAACACGUAUGAGAGUAACUGUUCAUACGUUGACGGUAUUUAACCAGAAAGUCACGGCUAACUACGUGCCAGCAGCCGCGGUAAUACGUAGGUGGCAAGCGUUAUCCGGAUUUAUUGGGCGUAAAGAGAGUGCAGGCGGUUUUCUAAGUCUGAUGUGAAAGCCUUCGGCUUAACCGGAGAAGUGCAUCGGAAA